ACAUCUCCUCACAUCUACAUUCUUACAGCUUCUCUUCCUCGGUUUAAGCCGCCUCAAAAUCCACUACCACCACGGUAAUCACACACAGAUCAUGGCUUUUGAUGUCGAUGAUGAACAAAAACAACAAAAUUUUCAGCACGAUGAUUUCGUCUCUCAGUCUCUGCGAAAAAGAAAUGAAGCGGAUGGAGAUUUGCCUGCCUCAUUCUGCUGUCUCAUUGCUUCACUCUUGCCUUUGCCACUUUUCUUGUUGUAUGGUGGGAAGUGGGAAGACAUCAAUGAGGAGAAGGUGAUGUCUCCGGCAGAAGUUGCCAAUCAAAAAAAGACGAAGAUAACACUUUUGAUCCAAAUCCAGCUUCAUGAAAGCAACCCUCAGAAGAAUGAGGUAUUCUAAACAUGUGUAAUAAUGUUUGAAGAAGUCAGGGAAGAAGAGCUUUGGUAACCUGUUAUUGGUGUGUUUUAUUUGAGUAAAUGUAAUUCUCUCACACUUGGUUACAGAGAGAGCUCUCAAGAAUCAAAUAUUGUCACAGUGGCUGAAACUAGGGAAUAGAAGGAACCAGGUGACGAAACAAGUGAAUAGAAGGAACCAGAGGCCUGCAAGGGGCAAAAUUUACACCCCAAGCUAGAUUUGGACCUUCCACUGACCCAGCUGGUAAGAGUUUGCACACCAAGUUGGAAGCUAGUGCUAAGACAUUAGAAGAAAACUCAAAGGCUAACAGCAGACAAAUUAGCAAAGAUGAUGAUGACGAAGAACCAGAGAGCAGAACCAAUGCUUUUACCAAAAGAUACUGGUACCUGUUCCCCCAAGUUUGCAGGGAAAUAAUGAUCGAAGUAAAUAAGGUCUAAAAUUUUGCAGGUGCAAAUGUGAAGCAUCUAACAUGUGUUGUCUGGAAACAAAAACAUACUGUAUCACUGUUGUUGAUUAUGCUUGGUUAAACAACACAAUUAUUUCUCUUGUACUUUAAAAACAAUGCAAUGUGUUUGAUGUUUUAUGAUAUCUGUACAGAAACAAUUUUUGAAUUAUUUGUGAAACUGAAUAAGAUCAUUCUGACACA